AUACUUGCCUGGCAGGUAGAUGGCAGGAUCACGAAGAGUGUUUUCCCGGGCUUAUCCACAGCACUUCAGACGUGCUGACCCCUGCAACUUCCCCAAAUAGGAGAAAUUCGACUGCAUAAUUUGUGGUAGUGAGGGACUGUGUUCACACUCUCCGA
rnacentral:snRNA from 1 species